rnacentral:rRNA from 1 species
AGGGAUUGCCUCAGUAACGGCGAGUGAAGCGGCAACAGCUCAAAUUUGAAAUCUGGCUCCUUCGGGGCCCGAGUUGUAAUUUGCAGAGGAUGCGUCGGGUACGGGUGCCUUCCGAGUUCCCUGGAACGGGACGCCAUAGAGGGUGAGAGCCCCGUCUGGUAGGAUACCCAGCCCGUGUGACGCUCCCUCGACGAGUCGAGUAGUUUGGGAAUGCUGCUCUAACGGGAGGUAUACUCCUUCCAAGGCUAAAUACCGGCUGGAGACCGAUAGCGCACAAGUAGAGUGAUCGAAAGAUGAAAAGCACUUUGAAAAGAGAGUCAAACAGCACGUGAAAUUGUUAAAAGGGAAGCGCUCGCUACCAGACUUGGGUUCGGCGGUUCAACCGGGGCCACGCCCCGGGGCAUUCCGCCGGCCCAGGCCAGCAUCAGCUUUCCGUCGGGGGUAAAGGCGUCGGGAAUGUGGCUCCCCUUCGGGGGAGUGUUAUAGCCCGUCGUGUCAUACCCUUCGGGGGGCUGAGGUACGCGCUUCUGCAAGGAUGCUGGCGUAAUGGUAGCUAGUGACCCGUCUUGAAAACACGGAACCAAAA